rnacentral:sRNA from 1 species
AUGGAACCUCUUUUGCUACCAGAGGUGGAGAAUUCGUCUGCGCCAUGGAAGGGAGAGAUAGGGGGAAACAAUGGGAGCAAAAUGGAGCCUCCUUUGUCCCUAGACGUGGAGAAAAAGGACAUGUCGUCGUCUACGUCAAGGAGGAGAGAGAGAGGGGCAAACUCUGAGAGCAAAACGGAGCCUCUUUUGCAACCAGAGGUGGAGAAUUCGUCUGCGCCAUGUAAGGGAGAGAUAGAGCGAAACAAUGGGAGCAAACUGGAGCUUCCUUUGUUCCCAGUAAUGAAGAAAAAGGACAUGUCGUUGUCCAUGUCAAGGAGGAGAGAGAGAGAGGCAAACUUUGAGAGCAAAGCGAAGCCUCUUUUGCCACCAGACGUGAAAGGCACGGUGGAGGAAAAAAUUGAGAGCAGAAUGAAGCAUCUAUUGCCUGAAAGAAGGAAUGGUGAACAUAGCUCCUUCACUCUGCGCCAUCCUCUUCGUACCCCAAGUAAGCCCAAUUCACAAAUUUUAUGUACGUAUAAUAUUAUUGAUAGGGAGGUGUUUAUUUCUGUGUGUUUUUGCCACAAGACGUGAAAGGCAUGGUGGAGGCAGACAUUGAGAGCAAAACAGAGCCUCUUUUGCCUCAAGACAUGAAGGAGGGCAUGGUGGAGGUAGACAUUGAGAGCAAAAUGGAGCCUCUUUUGCCAACAGAAGUGAGAAGCAUAAUGGUGGAGGCAAACAUUGAGAGCAAAACACAGCCUCUUCUGUCAUCAGCCGUGGAGAAAGAGGACAUGUCAUGGAGGAUAAAUCUGGAAGAGUUCCCUAAAUUGCCUCAAAGAAGGGAUGCUGAACAUGGCUCCUUCAUUCUACACUUUCUUCGUACCCCAAGUAAGCCCUCUUCACAAUCACAAAUCCUUAUGUAUGUAAUAUGAAUGCACGGAUACAACAAAAUUGGCAAUGUUUCUGAAUGAUGGAGUCAGAAGGCUUUAGUGAAUAACUUUAGAUAACCUGACAGCUUUGAAGUUCCUGUUGGAGUUUUGGCUAGGUACUUCACAUAUUUACUUUCGUUUUCGAUCGGUUGUUUUAGAGUUAUAAUGUAUCAAUGUUUUAUUAUUCUUUAACACACCUGAUGUUCUUUUGGAAAAUGAAACAUGAAUAGUUGAUGACUUUGUAUGCUUUCAUUCACCUCCUUGUCCAUUAUUAUAGUGAUGAAUGUAAUGUGAAAGUUGUACUCUUUGGCUGUAGGGAAACGAUGCAAGGUCAAUGAUUACUACAAGAAACAAAAAAGGCUACUUGAAGAGUUUACUGAGAUGGAGACCAUGAUUGAAACAGGUUGUGCGCCUGGAAAUCUAACAGAGGUUGGUUAUUCUGCACUCGCUUUCAUAUAUUUCUUGUGAGAUUUUAUAGGUUUUGUUUUAAUUGUAUUUCCACCCCAGCUUGAUGAUUUUAAAUAUAUGUGCAUUAUAGUGGUGUUAAACGGAAAAUUUUGGAACAAAACAAGAAGGAAAUUUCUGAGUUUGAUUAUAGAAAUAAAUUGAAUGACUACUAUUUGUGAUCAUAUUUCUUCCUCUAUGACACAUUUGUUUCCUUGUGAACCUGUUUGAUAAAAGUUUCAAGCUCCCCUUACAUGCCCCACACCCACCCCCACACCCCCCCNNNNNNNNNNNNNNNNNNNNNNNNNNNNNNNNNNNNNNNNNNNNNNNNNNNNNNNNNNNNNNNNNNNNNNNNNNNNNNNNNNNNNNNNNNNNNNNNNNNNNNCCACACAAAAAAAAAAAAAAGAAAAAACCCACCUCUACUAGGAACCCAAAUUAUGCUACAUAGGCAUACAGACAUAAUCCUUGUAAUCUUCUAAUAAUUGUUGUAAUUCCAUCUUUACAAUUGGUUAGUUAGUUAGGAAUUAAGCACAUGGAACACAAUUAAAACAUGGCUAAUUCUUAGAGCACAUACUAAAAUAGUUAGCCAAUCAUCUUGAGCCAUGUCAGCCAAUUAAUUUAGAGUUAGCCUCCUAUAAACACAUAAUUUUAAUUCUCAAUUAGGUAUUAAGUCAAUUAAUCAAAUUGUUGUGUGGUGCAUUUUUUUCUCUCUUAAUAAUUCUUUGUAGAUUGACUACCUCGAAUAUAUUCAAAUUCCAUGCAAUUUCCAUUCAUCCCCGUUAGAAACCACUAAUUUCCUAAAAAGUGGUAUCAAAGCCAUCAAUUUUGAGAUAAUUGAAUCUGUUGCAUUGCACCGAAGUUACAAGGAGUUACCAAAAUCAAAGGUUGAGAUUCUUUUAGGAACCAAUGGGUUCCUAACACCCCCUAAAAAGGCAAAAAGACAAAAAUCUUUUCAACUAAAAUCUGUCUUGGAAAACAGAAACUGAUUUCUUGUUAAUCUGUUUACGCUUUAUCAGGAUGAGAUGAAGCAGUUGGCGAGAGUGUGAGAAUGGCUAUCUAUGUAACAAAUCAGCUAACAUCGUGCUCUUUGCAGCAAAGGUUUUUGCUUCUAUUGAGAGCAAAUCAUUGGCGGUUAUUGCCUCAAUCUUGGCUCCACUCUUUGAUCUCUUGUGGGGAUUUAUAUUGUGGUUUACAACUCAUGCUAUGCAAAACCCAAACCAGCAUCGGUAUCCAAUUGGAAAGAAACGGAUGCAGCCAGUGGUAA